rnacentral:rRNA from 1 species
GCAGUGGGGAAUAUUGCACAAUGGGGGAAACCCUGAUGCAGCCAUGCCGCGUGUGUUGAAGAAGGCCUUCGGGUUGUAAAGCACUUUCAGUAGGGAGGAAGGUAGUGUAGUUAACACCUGCAUUAUUUGACGUUACCUACAGAAGAAGCACCGGCUAACUCCGUGCCAGCAGCCGCGGUAAUACGGAGGGUGCGAGCGUUAAUCGGAAUUACUGGGCGUAAAGCGCAUGCAGGCGGCCUGUUAAGUCAGAUGUGAAAGCCCGGGGCUUAACCUCGGAAUUGCAUUUUGAAACUGGCAGGCUAGAGUCUUGUAGAGGGGGGUAGGAAUUUCAGGUGUAGCGGUGAAAUGCGUAGAGAUCUGAAGGAAUACCAGUGGCGAAGGCGGCCCCCUCGGACAAAGAACUGACGCUCAGAUGCGAAAGCGUGGGGAGCAAACAGGAUUAGAUACCCUCGGUAG